AUGUCCAAGAGCCGCAAGAUCAGCCGCAUGCUUGCCGAGCAGGACGAGCAGCGUCCAGCGAGCCAGCGGCGGCGUCGGCGUGGGAGUUCUGAAGGCAAUGUCGAAGAGCAUGCUGCGGCGGAAACAGAGAUUGAGGAAGCAGAGGAGGAGGACGGGGACGAGGAGCAGCAGCAUCUCACGCCCUGGAACGUCGCCCCGCUGCGGUGCGCGGCCGAGUACCUGGAGAUGACGGAGGAGCACUCCGAGGACAACCUGGCCGCGCGCACCGAGGCCUACCUCUCGCAGUCCGUGCUCCGCCACCCCGGCGAGGCCACCAAGGCGCUCAAGUCCUGCGAGGAGCUGCUGCCGCACGCCGAGGAGCUCGGCAUUGCCGCCCGCUGCGUGGACGCCAUCGCCGCGCGCUCGUCGGCGACGUCGCGCUCCUGGUUCGGCGACCUGGCCGUGCUCGGCCUGCACAUGUACAAGCGGGUGAUGGCGGCCAUGGCCGCGCGCAAGGACGUGAGGACGGAGGCUUUGGAGGGCUGCCUCGUGUCCUACGCCAAGGCCACCCUCCCGGGGCUGUCGAGGUCCAUGAGGUGGCGCCGCGCGUCCGCGCCGGUCUCGUCGGAGGUGGAGCAGAGAGACCUCCUGGAGGUGGUGGUCGCGAGCCUCCCCGCGGACAAGGGCUCGGGGAGCGUCGUGACCGCGAAGUUCCUGUUCGCGCUGCUGCGGACGGCGCACAUCCUGCGCGCUUCGGACGCGGCGCGCGCGGCGAUCGAGCGGAAGGCCGCGACGCAGCUGGAACAGGCAACGGUGGAGGACGUGCUCAUCCCGAGCUACUCCGGCGCCGCGGAGACGCUCUACGACGUGGACUACGUCGAGCGGGUGGCCAGGCACUUCCUGCCUGCAAUCACCGAGGAGGAAGCGGCGGCGAGGACGACGGCGUCGCGUCCGUCGGCCGUGGCAAUGGUGCAGGUGGGCAAGCUGGUGGACAACUACCUGGCAGAGGUAGCGUCCGACGCCAACCUGAAGCCAACCAAAUUUUGCGAGCUCACGCUGGCAAUGCCGGACCACGCCCGCAUCUACGACGAUGGCGUCUACCGCGCCGUCGACAUCUACCUCAAGGCGCAUCCGCGGCUGACGGCGGAGGAGCGGGACAGGGUGUGCGGCGUGGUGGACUGCAGGAAGCUGACGGUGGAGGCGUGCACGCACGCGGCGCAGAACGAGCGGCUCCUGCUGCGCGCGGUGCUGCAGGUGCUCUUCUCCGAGCAGCUGCAGCUCCGGCGCGCCAUCAAGGGCACGCUGCUGGCGUCCACGGCUUCCCCGCGAGCGCGGCAUCCGAAUCCUCAUCCGCAGCGGCCGGCGGCGGCGGUGCGUCACGCCGCUGGCCCGAGCGAGGCGUGGCGGACGACGAUGGUGCAGGAGAGCCAAACGCUGCGGGUGGACAUGGACGGCAUGAGGAGCCGGGUGCAGGGCCUGGAGAGGGAGUGCUCCAGCAUGCGAAGGGCGAUCAAGAAGAUCGACGGCGGCGGCGUGGCGUCCAAGGCAGCGGCAGCCCGGACGCGGCCGCCCCGGCGGGCUGGCGGUCGAGGUACCGGUGCAAGUUCAGCACGCAGGUGUGCGACUCGCAGGCGCGCGACGCGGUCGUGUCCAGGGCGUCCAGGAUGGGGAUGA
rnacentral:rRNA from 1 species